rnacentral:lncRNA from 1 species
AUUUUUAUUCAUAAUUGUAUAAUGUUUAGCAUAAAAGUAAAAACUCAAAGGUGCACUCUUCCAAGACUCCAAGUCUUCAAAACUCCAACACGUUGCUCCAACAUUUGCUCUCAACGAACUACACUCUGCAACAACAUAAUCACUCAAUGAAGUCAAAGAACACAUUUAUAUAAAGCUAUCUAGAAAACCACAACGCUACAGACUAUUUCAGACUAUUUCAGAGAUCCACAACAUAAAGCUAUCUAGAAAACCACAACGCU